rnacentral:rRNA from 1 species
GGGGGAAUUUUGGACAAUGGGCGAAAGCCUGAUCCAGCAAUGCCGCGUGUGUGAAGAAGGCCUUCGGGUUGUAAAGCACUUUUGUCCGGAAAGAAAUCCUUGGCUCUAAUACAGUCGGGGGAUGACGGUACCGGAAGAAUAAGCACCGGCUAACUACGUGCCAGCAGCCGCGGUAAUACGUAGGGUGCAAGCGUUAAUCGGAAUUACUGGGCGUAAAGCGUGCGCAGGCGGUUUGCUAAGACCGAUGUGAAAUCCCCGGGCUCAACCUGGGAACUGCAUUGGUGACUGGCAGGCUAGAGUAUGGCAGAGGGGGGUAGAAUUCCACGUGUAGCAGUGAAAUGCGUAGAGAUGUGGAGGAAUACCGAUGGCGAAGGCAGCCCCCUGGGCCAAUACUGACGCUCAUGCACGAAAGCGUGGGGAGCAAACAGGAUUAGAUACCCUGGUAGUCCACGCCCUAAAACGAUGUCAACUAGUUGUUGGGGAUUCAUUUCCUUAGUAACGUAGCUAACGCGUGAAGUUGACCGCCU